rnacentral:rRNA from 1 species
GCACAAGCGGUGGAGCAUGUGGUUAAUUCGAAGCAACGCGAAGAACCUUACCAGGUCUUGACAUCCCGAUGCUAUUCUAGAGAUAGAAAGUUACCUCGGUACAUCGGUGACAGGUGGUGCAUGGUUGUCGUCAGCUCGUGUCGUGAGAUGUUGGGUUAAGUCCCGCAACGAGCGCAACCCCUAUUGUUAGUUGCCAUCAUUCAGUUGGGCACUCUAGCGAGACUGCCGGUAAUAAACCGGAGGAAGGUGGGAUGACGUCAAAUCAUCAUGCCCCUUAUGACCUGGGCUACACACGUGCUACAAUGGUUGGUACAACGAGUUGCGAGUCGGUGACGGCGAGCUAAUCUCUUAAAGCCAAUCUCAGUUCGGAUUGUAGGCUGCAACUCGCCUACAUGAAGUCGGAAUCGCUAGUAAUCGCGGAUCAGCACGCCGCGGUGAAUACGUUCCCGGGCCUU